GCCCCCUUUUCAUAUUAUGUAAUAGAACCCUGAUUUAGGCCUAUAUUUGAUCCGUCUCUAGAGAAUUCAACUCAGUUCCUAGAAAAUGCAGAUACCAGUUCUACAAUAAACCAGGAGACAAGCACUGAUGAUGAUUUUCCCAAUUUGGAAACAAAUCUGGAGCAAGAUGAGUUUGGUCUCAAAUCUGACAAUUCUACAAUUAUUCAACUUACAUAUGCAAAUCACACACUAGUUAAAAAGUUGAUUCCUUCCACCAUUGAAUCAGCUGAUCCAGAGAAGUCACCUGAUUUAGCAAAGUCAGCUGAUUUAGCAAAGACAGUUGAAUUGUCUGAACCCUACCAGAAGAUGGAAGCUGAAGUUGGGGCCUGGAAGAAUAAUGCCGCAAAUAAUUCACUACAUGUUUAUUUUGUAACUUUAUUUUUUUCCGGAUUUUAUUGUUUUAAUAAGAUAUUUCAAUGAGAAAACGGGUGUGCCUGCUGGUCUUUAAUCAAAUGUAUUUUUUUUGUUUGCAUAAUUAUCUUUUCAUUUUGUGUUGACAACAAUAGCUAUUGUUGCUGAUUGUAUGGCAGUGGCUGGUUUUAACAACUCCGAACCAUUAGCCAUCUGCUGGUUUUAACAAUAUGUGCCAUUUUUUUAGAAUUUUUAAGCAUAUCAUUUUUUAGGAACAACCACUUUUUCUGCAAAGUGAAAUACAUGCGUUAUUUUAAAAAUAUGUGAUGUAAUUUAAUUUAAACUAACCAAAAAAUAAAUAAUUUUUAGAAUC